UCUGGGGACAGGGACAUGUCAUCCCCUGCCUUCUGGCUUCCUUUGCACUUGAUUUGAAAAAAAAAAAAAAAAAGCUCAGGUGCCAAUGUAACAUUCUUUUUCUCUUUUUUUUCUUCGCCAGACAUAGGUGCUUAGAGUUUAUUCUAAGAAUAGGGAACCCCAGAAUGCUUCUAAGCACUGAGUGACUCGGUCGGGUCUGGUGGUAGAAAGCGCACUGCGAUCACUGGGCCCCGUGGGGGAGGGGAUUGUUGCUAAGAAUCCAGGCUGUGGGGGGUGGUGAUGUUGAGGGGGAAGCCCUGAGUCUCCUCCAGAAGGUCAGAACAGCAGGAAUUAGGAGGAAAUGGGAGGAGUUGGGGACGACUCGGACCUGUCCUCAACAAUGCCGAAAACUGAAAAGGCUUGGUGCUGGCUCCGGGGUGAGGACUUUUUUCCUUCCACAUUUAGUUGAGGCAAACGGUCAGCAAACCAAGGGCGAGGUGGAAAAACCACUGGAGUCCAGGCUGUUGUGGGAUCUGCAGACGGCAAAAGUGGGUCUCCACCUGCGACGAGGUGUUAGCAGCGCCUAGCCUGGUCCCUCAGGGAAGGGCGCUCGCGGUGCGUUUUCGCAUCACCUACUAAGACUGGUUUGGGUUGAUGGGUGGAAGCGUGCUUGGAGCGGGGGACUCAGAGGCACCUGUUCAGGCCUGCUUAGACUACGUACUCCGGGUGGAAAGCUUUGCUGUCUGUCCCUCCUGCCGCGCGGACCCGGCCGGACCUUGUCUCCUUUGUAGGAAAGGAAACUGGCUGUCCUAAAAUUCACUGUUUUGAACAAAGUGGCCUCGAACUCAUAAUGAUAUGCCUGGCUCUACCUCCCGAGUGCUGGGAUUAAAGGCAUAAAGUACUACCUCCAACUUUAAAGGUUUUGUCUUAUUUCUGAAUAAAUACUUAUGUGUAUGAGUGGUUGUUAGCCUGCGUGUACGUAUGUGCACACUGUGUAUGAGUACAUCAGAGGAUAGUAUGGAAUUCCAUGGAGCCACAGUUGUGAACCAUAAUGUUGGAGGUGGGAACCAACCCAGGUCCUCUGAAAGAGCAGAAGUGCUAUCUCUCCAAUCCUUGUUUCAAUGUAUUUAUUUGUGACAGGGUCUUACAUAGCUAAGGUUGGCCUUGAACUCCUGAUCUUCCUGCCUCAGCUGUCUAAAUACUGAGAUUACUUGCUUGCUAAUCUCGGCUUUAAGGCCACUUCAUUUCGGACCUUCUCAGUCUUUAGGGGGACUUGGGAAGACUGAUCACGUCCAGCCCAGAAGCCGAACUGAGAGAUGGGAUGGACCUUAGACUGCCAGGAGCAUCAGACCUGCUGCCAGCUGCCCAAUUUGGUCAGCAGGCGGGGUUAAGGAGUAGGGCGUGGCUCCGGCAGCGAGGGGGCGGAGCUGACCCUCUGGGCGCUUUCAGAGGCACGCGCGCGCGCACCCGCUCUCUGGCGCUGGGGAAAACGUUGCGCAGGUUCAAAAAUGGAACGUCGGCGGCGUGAGGGAACACUAGGGGGUGUGCGCGCGUGCGCGUGCGCGCCCGGACGAGCCUGACGGGGUCCCCGCCGUCCCGAGCAUCGCGCGCAGCCGCCGCGGCCCCGCAGCUCCACCCCCGGCCCAGCCCGGUCCGGUCCUGGGCCCACUCGCCCGCCGCCCCGCAUGGAGCUGUCAGCCAUAGGCGAGCAGGUGUUUGCGGUGGAGAGCAUCCGGAAGAAGCGCGUGCGGAAGGGCAAAGUUGAAUAUCUGGUGAAGUGGAAAGGAUGGCCCCCCAAGUAUAGCACCUGGGAGCCAGAGGAGCACAUCUUGGACCCUCGCCUUGUCAUGGCCUACGAGGAGAAGGAGGAGAGAGACCGAGCCUCGGGGUAUAGGAAGAGAGGUCCGAAACCCAGGCGGCUUCUGCUACAGCGGCUGUACAGCAUGGACCUGCGGAGCUCCCACAAAGCCAAGGGCAAUGAGAAGCUCUGCUUCUCUCUGGCGCGCCCGCUCCGCAGCGGGAGCCCCAUGGGGGUGGUCAAGGCAGGGGUCGCUGAGCUGGUGGAGAAGGGCCCCUUGGUGCCCACCCUGCCAUUCCCGCUCCGCAAGGCGCGCAAAGCCCACAAGUACCUGCGGCUCUCACGCAAGAAGUUCCCGCCACGCGGGCCCCACCUGGAGAGUCACAGCCAUCGACGGGAGCUCUCCCUGCAGGAGUCAGCAGCCCCAGACGUUGUGCAGACCCCCGGAGACUGGGAGCCUAUGGAGCAAGCCCCCGAGGAGGAGGCAGAAGCAGACCUGACCAAUGGGCCGCCUCCCUGGACACCCACGCUCCCCUCAAGUGAAGUUACCGUGACUGACAUCACCGCCAACUCCGUCACCGUCACCUUCCGCGAGGCUCAAGCCGCCGAGGGCUUCUUCCGAGACCGCAACGAGAAGCUGUGAAUAGCGGCUUCCCCUCUUAAAACUGUGCUUCUUGGGGCUUGGGUGAGGAUUUCCAGAGACAGGAGGGGCUGGGAGCAGGAGGCUGAUCCGUGGAGCCGGAGGAGCCCAGGAGGUCCAGACCUUGCCUCAGGCAGUCACCCCAGCUUUCUGGUGGUGUCCCUUCCCUGUCCCUUGCCGUGGGUCUUUACUAUGAACUUUCCACUCCAGCCUUGUGGUGGGACACAGAGGCCGGCCUUGGCCACCGGGGACAGGAUCAGGACAACCGGCACGGGCUGGACCAGGGAAGAGGCUGCCCACCAAGCCUCCUCCGAGUGUGCUGUCUCCCUGCCAUUGGCCUGUGUAGAGAUGCCCAUGAACACAUCCGGACACCCCAACAUGCACACCUUUAGAAAACUGACCAGUUGAACAUGACACCAUUCACAGCACAAACAGAACUUGCCGCGGCACCCUUGCUCCGCCUUGCACGUAGGUCAUGUGACAGGAUCUGUCGGCUGUCAUCUCCGAGCCGCCAAUUGGACCAGGCUUUGGUGUGCAAGGUGCAGAUGCUUCCACACAGGCUCACAGCCACCUGGCCCACCCUUCCUCCCACAGGAGUUCACAUUCUUUCUGACUCAGGUGACUUUCCAGCCCCGCCCCCCAAUUUCUCUGCCCUCUCCUGCCAAUCAGCCGAUCUGGGCACCCAUGGGUGCCAGUGGUAUGUGGGCAGUCAGGGAGGGAGUGUCCCACCACUUUCUCAGGGCAGUCCUUGUCUUCUUUGUCCCCCUCCCCACCCAACCUGAAUGGCAUGGCUAAGGAUGGAUGACCCCUCCCACCUUGUGGGGGUUGAACAUGAAUCAGGUUGCACACAAGUGUGUGGUCCUGAUUUGGCAAGGGGGGGGGUGCGGUUUGCUGGUUUGCACAGGUGCCCUAUAGGCUGACAGCUUCCUACCUGAGGACGGCUCCCUCCCUUGUCGAGAGCACAUUGCUCACACACCCGCUGCUACCAUACGAACCUAUAUGGCUGGGUCCUAGCAGCUACCAAUUCUGCUGUGUCUUUAGGAGGCCAGCAGAGUCAGUAUGAACAAGGGCAGGAUGACUUCUAAACACUACCCUGCCCCGUGUCUGUCUGCGACUCUAUCCUCUUCCUUCUCUAGUCCCUGGUCUCCCCCUCCUUUAGUCUUAAUGGUCCAGGGUUAACUCAGUGCUUCCGUUGGUGGCCGUCAUCUGUGGGUGACCUGAAUCUAGAGGAUGUCUGGGUGGGCCAGAGAGAGGAGAGACAGGAACCUCAGCCAGUAGGCUACAGGAACCUGGAGGUGGGGAGACCUUGGUGUUCUUGAAGCCCCAGCUCCCAGAGAGGUGAGGGUGGCUGGAGCUUUUCUUUGCUGCUGGGUUUGAUGGCCCACCAUAUUGGGGGACAGAAUCCCUUCGGUGUCAUGCUUCCCAUCCCUAGGGGCAUGGGACUAAAUGCCUGUACAAUUUGAAUUUUGAUCAUGAGACCCCAGGGGGGGCUUUCCAAGCAGCUGCCUUCUGUCUUUUGCAGUAGGCGGUGACCUUUUAUCUCACGGGGCCCUUUAUGAAACCCACCAGUCCCUGGAGAUUGUGGACUAGGCUGGAUAUCCCUCAGGGUAGCCAUGUAGCUCUGAACUGCUGGAAACUGGCCGCCUAGGGAGAAUGGCAGAAGGCUUCGAGUGGCUAUACACAGGCUUCUCCUAGCCUGAAGCUACCCAAGUGGACAGUAACACGCCCCCUCUCCACCCACAUACACUAACCCCAUACAGGGCCAGUACUCCAUGAGCCAGCAGUGGCGACCACCUGCCUAUCUCUUAACCCCUCCCCCUGCAUAUUUGAAUGUAGAGGUUGGGUUGAACUUCCCCCUCCCUGGGUUGGGGUGAAGAUGUGCCUCAACCUCUGGUGUGGACACUUGUGCAGUGCCACAGUUGAGCCCAUUUGGCCCACGUGGUUCUCAUCUGGUAAGAUGGUGAUCUUAUUGCCAAGUUCCUUCCACCUCCUGCCUACCGAGGAAGUAGCUCGGUGUCAGCGAGGUGGUAUCGAUUUUGCUUUAUAAAUGGCGGGCCAGACCUGGCCACCAGGUCUUUGCGCAAGACCGCUUCCUUUGCACACAGAAUGAGCUACGAGCUUUGUUCAGACGACCUGAAUGUAUUGGGAGGAAUUGGGCAUAGGCCUUCCCCCGGGGGGAGUGCGAUGGGAAGAGUAAGCAGGUGUAGGCUGCAGUUUUAUUUUUGUACUGAUAUUGGUAAAAGACUGUAUAGCAUCUAUUUAUUUAGAUGAUUUAUCUGAUAGAUGAGGCAAAAAUUAUUAAAAAAUACAUUAAAAUGUCUUUAGAGAC